rnacentral:rRNA from 1 species
CAGCCGCCGCGGGAAUACGAAGGGUGCAAGCGUUAAUUGGAAUUACUGGGCGUAAAGCGUGCGUAGGCGGUGAGUUAAGUCUGCUGUGAAAUCCCCGGGCUCAACCUGGGAAUGGCAGUGGAUACUGGCUCGCUAGAGUGUGUCAGAGGAUGGUGGAAUUCCCGGUGUAGCGGUGAAAUGCGUAGAGAUCGGGAGGAACAUCAGUGGCGAAGGCGGCCAUCUGGGACAACACUGACGCUGAGGCACGAAAGCGUGGGGAGCAAACAGGAUUAGAUACCCCCGUAGUCCCUGUCUCUUAUAC